CCUACGGGAGUCAGCAGUGAGGAAUAUUGGUCAAUGGCCGAGAGGCUGAACCAGCCAAGUCGCGUGAGGGAAGACGGCCCUACGGGUUGUAAACCUCUUUUGUCGGGGAGCAAAGCGAACCACGGGUGGUGCAUUGAGAGUACCCGAAGAAAAAGCAGCGGCUAACUCCGUGCCAGAAGCCGCGGGAAUACGGAGGAUGGGAUCGUUAUCCGGAUUUAUUGGGUUGAAAGGGUGCGCAGGCGGAGGUGCAAGUCAGCGGUCAAAUUGCGGGGCUCAACCCCGUACUGCCGUUGAAACUGCAUCCCUUGAGUGCGCGAGAAGUAUGCGGGAUGCGUGGUGUAGCGUUGAAAUGCAUAGAUAUCACGCAGAACUCCGAUUGCUAAGGCAGCAUACCGGCGCGCAACUGACGCUCAUGCACGAAAGCGUGGGUAUCGAACAGGAUUAGAUACCCUUGUAGUC
rnacentral:rRNA from 1 species